AACGAACGCUGGCGGCAUGCCUAACACAUGCAAGUCGAACGAGACCUUCGGGUCUAGUGGCGCACGGGUGCGUAACGCGUGGGAACCUGCCCUUAGGUUCGGAAUAACUCCCCGAAAGGGGUGCUAAUACCGGGUAAUGUCUUCGGACCAAAGAUUUAUCGCGUUUGUCUGGGCCGGCGUUGGAUUAGCUAGUUGGUAGGGUAAAAGCCUACCAAGGCGACGAUCCAUAGCUGGUCUGAGAGGAUGAUCAGCCACACUGGCACUGAGACACGGCCCAGACUCCUACGGGAGGCAGCAGUGGCGAAUAUUGGACAAUGGGCGAAAUCCUGAUCCAGCAAUGCCGCGUGAGUGAUGAAGGCCGUAGGGUUGUAAAGCUCUUUUACCCGGGAUGAUAAUGACAGUACCGGGAGAAUAAGCCCCGGCUAACUACGUG
rnacentral:rRNA from 1 species